CACGUAGUUAGCCGGUGCUUCUUCUACCACUACCGUCACUUACGCUUCGUCAUGGUUGAAAGGAGUUUACAACCCGAAGGCCUUCAUCCCCCACGCGGCGUCGCUGCAUCAGGCUUGCGCCCAUUGUGCAAUAUUCCCCACUGCUGCCUCCCGUAGGAGUCUGGGCCGUGUCUCAGUCCCAAUGUGGCCGUCCACCCUCUCAGGCCGGCUACCCGUCGACGCCUUGGUAGGCCAUUACCCCACCAACAAGCUGAUAGGCCGCGAGCUCAUCCUGCACCGAAAAACUUUCCACCACCGACACUAAACGAUGGUCCUAUCCGGUAUUAGACCCAGUUUCCCAGGCUUAUCCCGAAGUGCAGGGCAGAUCACCCACGUGUUACUCACCCGUUCGCCACUCGAGUACCCUGCAAGCAGGGCCUUUCCGUUCGACUUGCAUGUGUUAAGCACGCCGCCAGCGUCGUCCUGAGCCACGGAUCAACUAC
rnacentral:rRNA from 1 species